GAGGAACACCAGUGGCGAAGGCGGCCUACUGGGCACUAACUGACGCUGAGGCUCGAAAGCAUGGGUAGCAAACAGGAUUAGAUACCCUGGUAGUCCAUGCCGUAAACGAUGAUUACUAGGUGUGGGAGGAUUGACCCCUUCCGUGCCGCAGUUAACACAAUAAGUAAUCCACCUGGGGAGUACGACCGCAAGGUUGAAACUCAAAGGAAUUGACGGGGGCCCGCACAAGCAGUGGAGUAUGUGGUUUAAUUCGAAGCAACGCGAAGAACCUUACCAGGUCUUGACAUCGGAUGCAUACCUAAGAGAUUAGGGAAGUCCUUCGGGACAUCCAGACAGGUGGUGCAUGGUUGUCGUCAGCUCGUGUCGUGAGAUGUUGGGUUAAGUCCCGCAACGAGCGCAACCCUUAUCGUUAGUUACUACGCAAGAGGACUCUAACGAGACUGCCGUUGACAAAACGGAGGAAGGUGGGGAUGACGUCAAAUCAUCAUGCCCUUUAUGACCUGGGCUACACACGUACUACAAUGGCUAUUAACAGAGAGAAGCGAUACCGCGAGGUGGAGCAAACCUCACAAAAAUAGUCUCAGUUCGGAUCGCAGGCUGCAACCCGCCUGCGUGAAGCCGGAAUUGCUAGUAAUCGCGGAUCAGCAUGCCGCGGUGAAUACGUUCCCGGGCCUUGUACACACCGCCCGUCACACCAUGAGAGCCGGGGGGACCCGAAGUCGGUAGUCUAACCGUAAGGAGGACGCCGCCGAAGGUAA
rnacentral:rRNA from 1 species